rnacentral:rRNA from 1 species
AACGAACGCUGGCGGCAGGCCUAACACAUGCAAGUCGAACGAGAAGCCACCUUCGGGUGGUGGACAGUGGCAGACGGGUGAGUAACGCGUGGGAACGUGCCUUUCGGUUCGGGAUAACCCAGGGAAACUUGGGCUAAUACCGGAUACGCCCUCCGGGGAAAGAUUCAUUGCCGAAAGAUCGGCCCGCGUCGGAUUAGCUAGUUGGUGGGGUAAAAGCCUACCAAGGCGACGAUCCGUAGCUGGUCUGAGAGGANGACCAGCCACACUGGGACUGAGACACGGCCCAGACUCCUACGGGAGGCAGCAGUGGGGAAUAUUGGACAAUGGGCGCAAGCCUGAUCCAGCCAUGCCGCGUGGGUGAAGAAGGCCCUAGGGUUCGUUAAACCCCUUUCAGCGGGGAAGAUAAUGACGGUACCCGCAGAAGAACGCCCCGG